rnacentral:misc_RNA from 1 species
AGAUCAUCAGGUACUCCUGUGGAUGACGAAUCUGGGAAACUGUAUGCCAAUACCUCAAGUCAUUCUGUGGAAGCAAGAGUUUCAGCUUCUAUGGAUUCACAGCCAAGUCCUCGAACUUCUCGACUGAGUCAGAAUGGAGAUGGGUAUGUUGCUAAUUCAUCUGAUUUGCUUCCACAUGUAAAUUGCUUAUCUGAUCAAUCAGCUGGCAAAGAAGACACAUGGUCAAACAAGGUGAAGAAGAGGGAACUAUUGCUUGAUGAUGUUGGUGGUACCAUAGGUACUUCAAGUGCCCCCUCCGGAAUCGGAGGUUCUCUAUCAAGCAGUGCAAAAGGAAAGAGGAGUGAGAGAGACAGGGAGGGAAAAGGGCACAACAGAGAGGUUUUAUCUGGAAAUGGAACUAAUAAAAUUGGUCGGCCAGCAUUGUCUAAUGUCAAGGGGGAAAGGAAGUCUAAAACAAAGCCCAAGCAGAAAACUCAAUUAUCUGUUUCUGUAAAUGGCCUUCUUGGCAAGAUAUCAGGGCAUCCUAAACCAUCAUUACCUUCACAGGCUAAGUCUGGUGAUAUCACCACUAGUAGCAAUGGCAAGGAAAGAGAUGGUUUUGGCUUGGAUGUAUUGGAUGAUUCUGAGUCUAUUGAUUUGUCCAACCUGCAGCUUCCAGAAUUGGAUGAUGGCCAAGGGCAGGAUCUGGGUUCAUGGUUGAACAUUGAUGAUGAUGGAUUACA